AUUUGAUGUUUGUGACUUCAAUGAAUGUACACCUAUCAUGGGUUUGUAAUUAAUAUUUGAGUAGCAUUUACUAGAAACUACAAUGAAUACUUCAGAAAUGCAACUGAUGUAGAUGCUGUUGUCUAUUUGAUGCUGGUUAAUCAUAUGAUUCAUGGGCUAUAUCCUGGGGCUGUCACCAUUGGUGAAGAUAAUGAGUUUGGUGUCUGGGAGAUCUUUUGGCCUAAUAAUGCUGACGAUUCACCAGCAAUUCCCCUUGGUUCUCAAGUGAAGAUUCGUAUGGAAACUCCAUCUGGGAUUAAAGACUCCAUUCUUGCUUGGAUCAAGUUCUAUGUUCAAGCACUAGGUGAAAUCCCAUACAACGGAAUAUACUAUGAUUCGCCAAAAGAGGUGUCAUGUGGCAAACUUUUUGCACCAAGCAGUUGUUUUGGAACCCCUGAUGAUCUUAAGUCAUUGAUAGAUAGGGCUCAUAAGUUGGGUCUACUUGUUAUUAUGGAUAUUGUGCACAGCCAUGCAUCUAAUAAUGUGUUAGAUGGAUUGAACGUGUUUGAUGGAACUGAUGCUCAUUACUUCCACUCGGGGUCAAAGGGUCACCACUGGAUGUGGGAUUCUCGCCCUUUUAAUUAUGGAAGCUGGGAAGUACAAAGGUUUCUUCUUUCAAAUGCAAGAUGGUGGCUGGAAGAAUACAAGUUUGAUAGGUUCAGAUUUGAUGUUGUGACUUCAAUGAUCUACACCCAUCAUGGGUUGCAGAGAAGUAGAACUGAUGGAACAUUUGGAUCUUCAAUUAUUGGAAACUACAAUGAGUACUUCGGAUAUGCAACUGAUGUAGAUGCUGUUGUCUAUCUGAUGCUGGUUAAUCAUAUGAUUCAUGGGCUAUAUCCUGAGGUUGUCACCAUUGGUGAAGAUAAUGAGUUUGGUGUCUGGGAGAUAUUUUGGCUAAUAGUGCUUAUGGUUCACCAGCAAUUCCCCAUGGUUCUCAAGUGAAGGUAAAUUACUUGUAGAUGAACAUAAGUUUGGCUCUUGAAACUUAUUGUGCUUACAUUCAAAUGCUACUUGUUUAUUAUUUUCUUUUUCCACUUUUUAAGUCAGAGUAAAAAGAAACUAUUAAAACUUGCAACUCUUUCCCUAUAGAUCAACAAGGUAUUUAACCUUUUGAUCAUGAUCUGUGGACCAAGAACCUUUAAGUAUGAUGCUUUUUUUUAACACUGAUCCUAUUGCAUGUGUAUAUGGUUUGAAUAAAUCAUUGGUUGUAGUACAACGUUCACAAUAAUUAAUUACUAGAAUUCAUGUCAUAAAGGCAUUGAAGUAUUUAGUGGGGCGGUCUCUAAGUCAAGCAAAAUUAUUCAAGGUAGCUGAGUUCAAAUGCAACUAACUCCUAUCUUAAAAGGAAGGGAGAAAGAAAGAAAGGAUGAAGAUGGAAAAAAAAAUAUUUUUUUGGUGGACUGUUAUGAUCAUGUCAAUUAUCAUUCAUCCCAACCUCUUUUUCCAUGUGUCCAUUUUAACUUUUUCAUAUAAUUGUGGAUUCAUAUGGAAACUCCAUCUGGGAUUAAGGUCUCCAUUCUUGCUUGGAUCAAGUUCUUUGUUCAAGCACCAGGUGAAAUCCCAUACAACGGAAUAUACUAUGAUCUGCCAUAAGAGUUAAUUUCACAUCUCAAACAUCAAUUCCUGACAUCAAAUUGGUAUCAAAGUUAUGGCAAGUCAUCAUCGUUAAGCACCAUCAGAAGAUGAUGAAGCCAACAUUGAUUUUGUAACAACUACCAACGUUGACCCAAGGGAUGCCCUCAUAGAGGAGAUGCGACAACAGAUCUUUCAACUACAACAUCAGUUGCAUAUACAAGAAGGGAAAGGGGAGAUAAUGAGGCAACGAAGGAGAAACGAAAAAGAUGAAAGAGAAACCAAUCCAUACCAUGGAAAUAAUAGUGAUUAUGAUGAUAACACUCUAUCUCACCUACGGUAAGUUGGAGAUUAUCUACCCGAAAACUAACUUCAACCUAGCAUCUUCAAUCUGAAGAUAGAAAUUUUUGAGUUCAAGAGGAAAAUGCAACUUGAAGAAUUAUUAGAUUGGCUACACACGAUGGAAUGUAUAUUUGAAUACCAUAAUGUCCCCUAAAAAUGGCAAGGUGAAGCUAGUGGCCAUCAAAAGAAAGCAUGCAUCCUUUUGGUGGAAAAAUCUAAAGAAACAAAGGGAAAGAAAAGGUAGAAGAAAAAUUGCAACUUAGGAGAAGAUGAAAAAAGAGUUUAAAAGAAAGUAUUUCUCAGACAAUUUUAGGCAAGAUGUCUUCCUUAGGCUCCAUAACUUGAAGCAAAAGCAUCUUUUGGUGGAAAAAUACAUUAACUAGGGAAGCACGUCCAAGACUAGUGUUUCUACAAAACCUCCUUCAAAUCUAACCCUAAAGAAUGAAGGAGCCAUUCCUAACAAACCGUAAUCUAGCAUUGUCAACAUUCAAACCUAAAGAGACUUCAAGUGUCAAGGAGUUUGGGCAUAUACAUUAUGAGUGUCCAAAUCUCAAGAUAGUUAUGUUGAUUGAAGAUGAAGAUCUUGAAUAUGUUGAUAGAGAACCUACUAAAGUAUCCCAGGAUCUUGAAGAAGAUGUUAAGGGGACCUAUGGUGAUCUUGAAUCCUCACUUGUUAUACAAUACAAUAUGAGUGAUGUGCAUGUAGACGAAGAAGAUUGGUUGCACAAGAAUAAAUUUCACACUAAAAGCACUGUUCAUGAUGUAUGUGAUGUUAUGAUUAACAGUGCAAGUUUUGAAAAUGUUGUUUCUACUUUUAUGGUACAAAAAUUAGACCUCAAAAUAGUGGAUCACUUCCAACCAUAUAAGCUGUCUUGGCUGCAAAAAGAGAAUAAAAUCAAGGUUAGCAAGAGGUGUUUGGUUUUUUUUUUCGUAGGAAAGCAAUACAGGGAUGGAGUGUGGUGUGAUGUAGCUUGCAUAGAUGCUUGCUUCAAUGAAGAGGAAAAACCAAUUGCCUUCUUUAGUGAGAAGCUUAAUGAUUCUCGACAGAAAUACUCAAUUUAUGAUAAGAAGUUCUAUGCUAUUUAUAGAGCUUUAUUCCUUUGGAGUCAGUAUCUCUUUGCCAAAUCAUUUAUUCUUAAUUAUUGCCCUUAUCAUCAUUCCCAAACCGAUGAGAAAAUUGAAGUUAUCAAUCAUAGCUUGUAAAUUUUCUA